GCCAGUGUGCAUAGUGGUUUGAACAAUGGACUACAGUUCUGGAGACCAGGGUUCAAAUCCCUGCUCAGCCA